AACUUUACAACUAGCCCCA
rnacentral:rRNA from 1 species